AGACUACAGCGGGAAGAGCGUCUCUGUGGUGGCUGGGCCUUCUCUGCUCUGAGAAGAGGAAGCCGGAGGCUUCGGGAGCGGGAAGUGGUCCAGAAACUGCUCAGGUGUGGAUGUAGGUUGUUGAGCAACAGACAUUCCUGCCUUCUUGAUUCUUCACGAAGAAACAGUGUUGUGAUGCAUUAGGAUAAUCCAUUGCCCGUGAUGCUACAUCCCAUCCAGCUCUCUGCAGUGCAUCUGAGAAGCAGCAGACAACCCAAAUUCUUGAGUCCCUGCCACCAUGAGGGAGACUUGGAUGGAGUUCCAGAUCCGAGCUUUGAUCUGACCCAGUCCCAGCCAUUGUGACCAUUUGCAUACUCCCUUGGUGCUGCUGCUCUCUGUGGACUCGUCCUCCUCAGCCUCUGACUAGAGCACAGCCACCUCUCCAGUGCUGACAUCCUCUGACACACGUUUCACUCUGCUGUUCUCCCUAAACUGCAGACUCUGCUUGGGCAACCCAACUAACUCUCAUGCAUAGACACACACACCUGAGGACUCCAGAGCCUUUGAUUUCAGGUCCAAAUUAACUUUCAUUUUCAGAUGACUCGUGAAAAAACAAGUCUGGAAGCCAGGGUGUAGCCUUGUGGUUUAGAUACCUGUGUCUCAUUUUGGAGUUUCUGGGUUUGAUUCCCAGUUCCAGCCCCUGACUCCAACUCCCUGGAAAUGCAAACCCUGAGAGCUAGCAAGUGAUGGCUCAGAUGAUGGGGUUCCCUGCUCCUGGGCCAGCCCGGGCCACUGUGGACAUUUGAGCAGUGAACUAGAGGGUGAAUACCACUUCUCUGUCUACUUGUUUGUCUCUUUGCAUCUCCAAUUAAAAAAACAAAACAAAAAAGUAUGUCUAUAUCUUUCAUUAAAAUAAAUUCCUCAAUGGCUAAAAAUAGUUUCAUUGUUAAAGUUAGCAAAAAAUAAUGCUUCUUGGUUGUAAAUGAUAUUAGAAUAAUUUACAACUGUAAAUCAGACUUCCAUAGUGGAUAAGGAAGAGAAAGAUGAGAGCAAUAAUUUUUACUU